rnacentral:tRNA from 2 species
UGGCCCAUGGUGUAAUGGUAGCACAGCAGAUUUUGGUUCUGUUUGUCUGGGUUCGAGUCCUAGUGGGCCAACAA